GAGAGAUAUUGUUUGGAAAUGGGACAAAGAUUGACAUCAAAGAACGAACAGCAAGUUUUGAAUUGAUCGGGCUGGUCAUAGCGAUACUCUGCUUGGUGAUUUCUCUGAUUGGAAAUGUUUCUCUCAUUUGCUUCCAAACUCCGAGAGAAGAAAGUGAACAAUCUAAAGCUGCUGUCGUCCUGCAAUUAAACAGCGAGAGGGUGAAAAA